GAGGAGCCAAGAGGAGAGAGAGUGUCAGCAGCUGCCUGGGUCCAUGGGUCCCUGUCACAGCACAAGUGCAGCUCAAGGUCCCAGGCUCCAACAAAGAGUCUGAAAAAAGAAUCAAGUGGCCUCUAAUCAUUCAGUCCAGACAUGGGCCCUGACUGAGGAAAAUUAGCACCAGCCACAAGCAAAACCCACUGGAAGGAGUGAAGGAUAGUGUAAUUGACUCCUUCUGG
rnacentral:lncRNA from 12 species